GACGAACGCUGGCGGCGUGCUUAACACAUGCAAGUCGAGCGGUAAGGCCCUUUCGGGGGUACGACGAGCGGCGAACGGGUGAGUAACACGUGGGUGACCUGCCCUUAGCUCUGGGAUAAGCCUGGGAAACUGGGUCGUAAUACCGGAUAUGACUCCAUGACGCAUGUUGUGGGGUGGAAAGCCUUGUGCGGCUAGGGAUGGGCCCGCGGCCUAUCAGCUUGUUGGUGGGGUGAUGGCCACCAAGGCGACGACGGGUAGCCGGCCUGAGAGGGCGACCGGCCACACUGGGACUGAGACACGGCCCAGACUCCUACGGGAGGCAGCAGUGGGGAAUCUUGCGCAAUGGCCUAACGGCUGACGCAGCGACG
rnacentral:rRNA from 1 species